UAUGCGAAGUUGAUUGAGAAGAU
rnacentral:siRNA from 1 species